GCGACGCCGCGUGGGGGAUGACGGCCUUCGGGUUGUAAACCUCUUUCGCAGGGACGAAGCCGUGAGGUGACGGUACCUGCAGAAGAAGCACCGGCCAACUACGUGCCAGCAGCCGCGGUAAUACGGGGGGGGCAAGCGUUGUUCGGAAUUACUGGGCGUAAAGGGCUCGUAGGCGGCCAACUAAGUCGGACGUGAAAUCCCCAGGCUCAACCUGGGAACUGCGUCCGAUACUGGAUGGCUUGAAUUCGGGAGAGGGAUGCAGAAUUCCAGGUGUAGCGGUGAAAUGCGUAGAUAUCUGGAGGAAUACCGGUGGCGAAGGCGGCAUCCUGGACCGACAUUGACGCUGAGGAGCGAAAGCUAGGGGAGCAAACGGGAUUAGAUACCCCGGUAGUCCUAGCCCUAAACGAUGAAUGCUUGGUGUGACGGGUAUCGAUCCCUGUCGUGCCGAAGCUAACGCAUUAAGCAUUCCGCCUGGGGAGUACGGUCGCAAGGCUGAAACUCAAAGGAAUUGA
rnacentral:rRNA from 1 species